rnacentral:rRNA from 1 species
UACGUAGGGUGCAAGCGUUAAUCGGAAUUACUGGGCGUAAAGCGUGCGCAGGCGGUUAUGUAAGUCAGAUGUGAAAUCCCCGGGCUCAACCUGGGAAUGGCAUUUGAGACUGCAUGGCUAGAGUGUGUCAGAGGGGGGUAGAAUUCCACGUGUAGCAGUGAAAUGCGUAGAGAUGUGGAGGAAUACCGAUGGCGAAGGCAGCCCCCUGGGAUAACACUGACGCUGAUGCACGAAAGCGUGGGGAGCAAACAGG